GGCGGAUCCGCGGCGGGUGGGAGGGGUCGGCCAGUGGCUGCCCCCGGGACGCAGUGGGAGCAAAGCUGCUGACUCUGGGUUCCAUUGACCUGCGAGAGCUGGACCUCUCCCUGGGAUCCGGAAACAGAAAGUUGCUUCCCAACUCAGAAUGUCCAGAUCUGCUAGGGGAUCAGAAUCACCUGAUUAGAGACCAGAAUCUGAUUUAGAAACCCAGACCCCAGGUAUCCACUUCUGGCCUGCUAAAUCAAAAUCUGCGCAGCGAGGACCCAGAAUCUGGAUUUAACCAGAUGUUAUAGAAGGUGCUACUUAAAAUCAUCGGCAUGAUAGGAUUGGCUGCAGAGAAAAUGGUUUGUAGAGUAAAGAGGACAGACGUUUUUCGGGAUACCUGCGGAGAAAGAUUUUGAAGCUGAUAGCAAAAGGAAUAUCCCAGUUUUUCCUGAGCACAUAUCUUUUGAAGAAAGAUUAUCUCCUGCCUACUAUCAGAAGCUGACACUACAGGCUUUCUUCUGCUAUUUGAUGGCUGGUUGUUCUCUACUCCCACUUUCCACCAUUAAUUACUUCGAUGAUCAUAAAAAAGAAACCUGUUGUUCUCCUUGCUGGCUGUCCUGGUGCUGGGUCUGGGUCUGCCAUGCGCUGAGGAUGAUCUGGCUCCAGAUAUCAACACUAUCACUUCCUGCUUAGACACGAUAUUUGACUAAUUUGUGUGUUUCAGCUUCUUUGGUUUAUAAUACAAAACCGAAUACCAGAAAGGACAGAACUUUAUAGAAGGAGAAAUCUGGAGAUCUGUAGAAGGUCCUUCU